CGGGCGGGAGGCACCGCGGAGAGGCGUAAACAAGCUGGCGGCGGCUGGGUGUGGUUGGAGCGCCUUCCCGCUUGCCGCUGGAGUCGUUUCUGCCCUUCGCGCGCCUGGCGCCCCCUCGAGUGUCCCUGUGGGCGGCUACAGAGCGGCGAUCCUGUUUCCCGAGGAGCCCGCGUGGGUGAAGGGCCUGCUUGGGAGCCUUAGGGGAGUUGCAGCUCACCAGGGAAGGGGCGGAAAGCCGGGGGUCAGGGCAGCCUCCUUCCUGGGCUGAGCAUUUGCAGAAGCCCGCCUCCGGGAUGGCGGGGGACCCCCCUGGCUUCUGCCUUCAAGUAGCUCACACUUCACACCUAGUCAUGACGUCUAGAGAGAACCAGCCCUAGUAGGAGGCAGCUUUCAAAUCAGAACGCCUCGUUGCGUUCCCUGCCGAAACAAAGCUUUAAGCCGUCUAAGCUUCAGUUUCUUGACAUGGGCGCAAUGACAUUUGUGACGUGAGGAAUCAAAGAGAUGAAGUAUAGACAGCGUUGAGCCCAGAGCCCUGCGCCUAGGAGAUGCUCUCUCGCUAGGUAGGUGGCCUUUGUCGCGAGGCUGGAUGUGAUGAGCUCCAGCACGAACAGGAAGCGCUGUGAGAGGAGGCACAGUGCCAUGAAGUCGAACUAUGGGAUCUGAAAGGCAUUUUGAAGGAGUGGGCAUCAGGCUGGGUUUUAAAGGAAAGGGGUCAUAACCACAUUGUCACUGUACACUGUCUGGAAGAAGAAUGGUCAUUGUUAUCUCAAGACGGACCACCAGUGGCUCGUAAGAAGAGGCUGGAGAUGACAGGCAGAGACAGCCCUGCCACCAUCUCCCACCACUUAACCAGGCUGGGCUACUUAGAUGUUUUCUGCUUCUCUGGGGCUGAUUUUUGUCAUUUGCUUAACAGACACUAAUCAGACCGCUACCUUCCACACACCACCCUGGAGCCUCCCUGUGACAGGGGACUUUCUGACCAGCCUGUCUGAGCAUAGAAGGGCUGAGCCCUGCAUAGGCAGGUGGUACUAACAGGAUGCAUGUCAUGGAGGACAUCUGCUGCAUUUGGCUGUGUGACGUCUCCCCCUUGCCUUCUGAAGAGGGUGCUUCUGUUUCCCACCAGGAUCCCAGCUGCUAUAGCUACAGCCCUUUCUUAGAGAAUCUGCCUUCAGCCUGGGCUACUCACUCCGAACCAAGCCAAACCCACAGAUGCUUACACACACACACACCUCUGACUGGACCUGGAUUCGGGCUGAAAACCUUCCUCACACUGAGCCAGCCAGAUUCUCCUUCUUGAGAAUUUGCACAAAGAGACCCCAAGCCUGAGACAUAUGGCAUUGGUCAAGGGUUGAAACUUUACACAACUGCAGGCGGACUAUUCAAACUGCUGUGCUCCAGAAGAGGCAGGUCACUUAGAAAAUGCCUCAGACAGGUGCCCUUGGGGGUUGUGCAAUAAGAAGGGACCGUGCUGUUCCCUGCGGGGGAAGGGGGAGUCACGUGGAGUUGGAUCCAGCCAUGGCCACCCGCACUCUGGACAGCAGAGUUAAGCAGGAGGAGCUGCUAAGAGCCUUGCCGAGGAAGCCAGCAUGCCCAGACCAGCAAGGAGCAGCUGUGGUAACGGAGAGGAAGGAGAGCUGCAGGACUCGCCCAUUGCCCAGGAGGCCUGCUUAGGUCUGGAAGAUGCCCCUGUAUCUUUUCAAUAAAUUCCACUUUUUCAUGCCUGUAAUCCCAGCACUUUGGGAGGCUGAGGCAGGAAGAUUGCUUGGGGGCAGGAGUUAGAAGCCAGCCUG